GCCGGGCGUGGUGGCGCAUGCCUGUAAUCUCAGCUACUCAGGAGGCUGAGGCAAGAGAAUCACUUGAACCCGGGAGGCGGAGGUUGCAGUGGGCCUAGAUCGCGCCACUGCACUCCAGCCUGGGUGACAGAGUGAGAUUCUGCCUCCA
rnacentral:sRNA from 1 species